AAAGGGAGACCUAAUUCAGGUAAAAGACGAAAAAAAAGUAGUCGCUACCAAGAAUCAAUCCCAAAAGGUCGGAGCGAGGCGAAAUUGGCUUUCAAACUAGGUUCUGGGUUCAAACAAGACCUGAAUCAGGAACAAGGGCUAUUAGCUCAGGUGGUUAGAGCGCACCCCUGAUAAGGGUGAGGUCCCUGGUUCGAGUCCAGGAUGGCCCACCUGCACAGGUGGCAAAAACAAGAGAAGCGAGGAAUCAGCACCUUAUUUUACUUAUAUAGUAAGAGAGAAUGCUGGCUCUGAGUAAAGAGUCCAGAGGAACCUUGAAAACUGCAUAGAGCUAGGUGAAAAAGCCAAAAAAGAAGACCGCAAG
rnacentral:tRNA from 1 species